UCAACACAGGGUUAUAGCUGGUGUGUUAAGGUCAACACAGGGUUAUAGCUGGUAUGUUAAGGUCAACACAGGGUUAUAGCUGGUGUGUUAAGGUCAACACAGGGUUAUAGCUGGUGUGUUAAGGUCAACACAGGGUUAUAGCUGGUAUGUUAAGGUCAACACAGGGUUAUAGCUGGUGUGUUAAGGUCAACACAGGGUUAUAGCUGGUGUGUUAAGGUCAACACAGGGUUAUAGCUGGUAUGUUAAGGUCAACACAGGGUUAUAGCUGGUAUGUUAAGGUCAACACAGGGUUAUAGUUGGUAUGUUAAGGUCAACACAGGGUUAUAGCUGGUGUGUUAAGGUCAACACAGGGUUAUAGCUGGUGUGUUAAGGUCAACACAGGGUUAUAGCUGGUGUGUUAAGGUCAACACAGGGUUAUAGUUGGUGUGUUAAGGUCAACACAGGGUUAUAGCUGGUGUGUUAAGGUCAACACAGGGUUAUAGCUGGUGUGUUAAGGUCAACACAGGGUUAUAGUUGGUGUGUUAAGGUCAACACAGGGUUAUAGCUGGUGUGUUAAGG